rnacentral:rRNA from 1 species
UUCUUGGUCAUUUAGAGGAAGUAAAAGUCGUAACAAGGUCUCCGUUGGUGAACCAGCGGAGGGAUCAUUACAGAGUUGCAAAACUCCCUAAACCAUUGUGAACGUUACCUAUACCGUUGCUUCGGCGGGCGGCCCCGGGGUUUACCCCCCGGGCGCCCCUGGGCCCCACCGCGGGCGCCCGCCGGAGGUCACCAAACUCUUGAUAAUUUAUGGCCUCUCUGAGUCUUCUGUACUGAAUAAGUCAAAACUUUCAACAACGGAUCUCUUGGUUCUGGCAUCGAUGAAGAACGCAGCGAAAUGCGAUAAGUAAUGUGAAUUGCAGAAUUCAGUGAAUCAUCGAAUCUUUGAACGCACAUUGCGCCCGCCAGCAUUCUGGCGGGCAUGCCUGUUCGAGCGUCAUUUCAACCAUCAAGCCCCCGGGCUUGUGUUGGGGACCUGCGGCUGCCGCAGGCCCUGAAAAGCAGUGGCGGGCUCGCUGUCGCACCGAGCGUAGUAGCAUACAUCUCGCUCUGGUCGCGCCGCGGGUUCCGGCCGUUAAACCACCUUUUAACCCAAGGUUGACCUCGGAUCAGGUAGGAAGACCCGCUGAACUUAAGCAUAUCAAUAAG